GAUGAACGCUAGCUACAGGCUUAACACAUGCAAGUCGAGGGGCAGCAUGAACUUAGCUUGCUAAGUUUGAUGGCGACCGGCGCACGGGUGAGUAACACGUAUCCAACCUGCCGAUGACUCGGGGAUAGCCUUUCGAAAGAAAGAUUAAUACCCGAUGGCAUAGUUCUUCCGCAUGGUAGAACUAUUAAAGGAUUUCGGUCAUCGAUGGGGAUGCGUUCCAUUAGGUUGUUGGCGGGGUAACGGCCCACCAAGCCUUCGAUGGAUAGGGGUUCUGAGAGGAAGGUCCCCCACAUUGGAACUGAGACACGGUCCAAACUCCUACGGGAGGCAGCAGUGAGGAAUAUUGGUCAAUGGACGAGAGUCUGAACCAGCCAAGUAGCGUGAAGGAUGACUGCCCUAUGGGUUGUAAACUUCUUUUAUACGGGAAUAAAGUGAGGCACGUGUGCCUUUUUGUAUGUACCGUAUGAAUAAGGAUCGGCUAACUCCGUGCCAGCAGCCGCGGUAAUACGGAGGAUCCGAGCGUUAUCCGGAUUUAUUGGGUUUAAAGGGAGCGUAGGCGGACGCUUAAGUCAGUUGUGAAAGUUUGCGGCUCAACCGUAAAAUUGCAGUUGAUACUGGGUGUCUUGAGUACAGUAGAGGCAGGCGGAAUUCGUGGUGUAGCGGUGAAAUGCUUAGAUAUCACGAAGAACUCCGAUUGC
rnacentral:rRNA from 1 species